UACAGAGGUCUCAAGCGUUGUUCGGAUUCAUUGGGCGUAAAGCGCACGUAGGCGGCUUUUUAAGUCAGGGGUGAAAUCCUGGAGCUCAACUCCAGAACUGCCUUUGAUACUGAGAAGCUUGAGUCCGGGAGAGGUGAGUGGAACUGCGAGUGUAGAGGUGAAAUUCGUAGAUAUUCGCAAGAACACCAGUGGCGAAGGCGGCUCACUGGCCCGGUACUGACGCUGAGGUGCGAAAGCGUGGGGAGCAAACAGG
rnacentral:rRNA from 1 species